rnacentral:tRNA from 1 species
GCCCGGAUAGCUCAGUUGGUAGAGCACACGACUGAAAAUCGUGGUGUCGGCGGUUCGACCCCGUCUCCGGGCACCA